UACGUAGGAGGCAAGCGUUGUCCGGAAUUACUUGGUGUAAAGCGCGUGUAGGUGGGAGGCCAAGUCUGUGGUGAAAGCGCCCGGCUCAACUGGGCAGAGUCCAUGGAAACUGGUCACCUGGAGGACGGUAGAGGCGAGUGGAAUUCCCGGUGUAGUGGUGAAAUGCGUAGAGAUCCGGAGGAACACCAGUGGCGAAGGCGACACGCUGGGCCGUACCUGACACUGAUGCGCGACAGCAUGGGGAGCAAACAGG
rnacentral:rRNA from 1 species